GUGAGGAAUAUUGCGCAAUGGAGGCAACUCUGACGCAGCCAUGCCGCGUGCAGGAAGAAGGCGCUACGCGUUGUAAACUGCUUUUAACCGGGAAGAAACCCCAGGACGUGUCCUGGGUUGACGGUACCGGAGGAAUAAGCACCGGCUAACUUCGUGCCAGCAGCCGCGGUAAUACGAAGGGUGCAAGCGUUAUCCGGAUUCAUUGGGUUUAAAGGGUGCGUAGGCGGAGCGUUAAGUCAGUGGUGAAAUCCUGCAGCUUAACUGUAGACUUGCCAUUGAUACUGGUGCUCUUGAGUGCGCUUGAAGUGGGCGGAAUGUGCCGUGUAGCGGUGAAAUGCUUAGAUAUGGCACAGAACACCAAUUGCGAAGGCAGCUCACUAAGGCGAUACUGACGCUGAGGCACGAAAGCGUGGGGAUCGAACAGGAUUAGAAACCCCGGUAGUCC
rnacentral:rRNA from 1 species